CACUAAUGCCCUGGUACAUAUGAUGGUUCCAGAUCUUGGAAAUUGCUGGUCUGUCUCCCUUGCGUGUGAGAAGUCUGGGGUUCUUACUAUUCCAGAAGGAGUGCAAACUGCCUCCAGUAUUCAGCACUGAGAAAAAUAGCCAUUUGAAAAACUGUUGGACCCAAUUCUCAGCUGGUGUUUCUAAGACCUAUUGCAUUGAUUUUAAACUCUCAAAGGCAAUGGAAGCUUUGAGAUGGUGACAAUACAGAUCACAGUGUACAAAGAAUACUUCAGAUGUAACAGGCUGUAAAACAGCUAUAUUAAAUCUUAUAUACAGUGGUUAAUGAUUCUGUUUGAAAAUUGCAUUGUAUCUUAAUGUGUUCUCCCCUUUGCUGCUUCUUCUUGAACCACCCAAGAGCCAAAAUAAGCCACCUGUGAUUGCAGUCUCAUAGAAUCAGGAUAAUUGCCCAGAUCAAUAGUUACGGUCAACCUACAGACAAAUAAGAAAGGAAGGUGAAAGUGUCUGACAAGUGAUUUAAUGCUUCACCUUUUCAUAACUCUUUGCUGUCUGCGUCAUGUGGCACUGGGCUCACUGUAGCAGCUUAGAGCAAAUUCUGAGGAAGGGGAUGGAGAUGGAGGGUGGGGAGCUCUCUCUCUUAGCCUUAAAUCUAUGGAAGAAUAGUAAGGCAUGCCAGAGGAGACAAUUGUAUAACUGCUUUUUUCUGGUACCAUUUAACUAGUCAGGAGAGUCAGACAAAAUCUUUGUUCAAUGCAUCUCUAGCACUGCUCUAUACGCUGUCUUUGAAGGAGACACUUUUUUUUUUUUUUUAGAUCCACUUACUUUGACAGUUAAUAUUACAA